GGGCCCGCACAAGCGGUGGAGCAUGUGGUUUAAUUCGAUGCAACGCGAAGAACCUUACCUACCCUUGACAUCCUUGGAAUCUUUCAGAGAUGAGAGAGUGCCUUCGGGAACCAAGUGACAGGUGCUGCAUGGCUGUCGUCAGCUCGUGUCGUGAGAUGUUGGGUUAAGUCCCGCAACGAGCGCAACCCACGUCUUUAGUUGCCAGCAUUUAGUUGGGCACUCUAGAGAGACUGCCGGUGAUAAACCGGAGGAAGGUGUGGAUGACGUCAAGUCAUCAUGCCCCUUACAUCCUGGGCUACACACGUACUACAAUGCUACGGACAAAGGGCUGCAAGUUCGCGAGGACAAGCAAAUCCCAUAAACCGUGGCUCAGUUCAGAUCGUAGGCUGCAACUCGCCUACGUGAAGGCGGAAUCGCUAGUAAUCGCAGGUC
rnacentral:rRNA from 1 species